rnacentral:siRNA from 1 species
ACCAUUGGGGAUGCUCUAAAGGA